rnacentral:ncRNA from 16 species
UGCUGCAACGGCGAGGGAGUCCGCCGAACAAAUGCCAAUGAUGGCUGAUGACUCCUACAAAUAU